rnacentral:piRNA from 1 species
UCUAUUUACCAAUGGGUAUAAGGAUUCAGU